rnacentral:rRNA from 1 species
AGAACGAACGCUGGCGGCGUGCUUAACACAUAGCAAGUCGAACGCGAAAGGGACUUCGGUCCUGAGUAAAGUGGCGCACGGGUGAGUAACGCGUAGAUAACCUGUCUUCAUGUCUGGAAUAAUACGCCGAAAGGGGUACUAAUACCGGAUAUUCUUGCUUUUCAUAAGUUAUGCAAGCAAAGGUGGCCUCUGCAUAUGCUACUGCAUGAAGAGGGGUCUGCGUACCAUUAGCUAGUAGGUGGGGUAAUGGCCUACCUAGGCGACGAUGGUUAGCGGGUCUGAGAGGAUGAUCCGCCACACUGGCACUGGAACACGGGCCAGACUCCUACGGGAGGCAGCAGUGAGGAAUAUUGCGCAAUGGGGGAAACCCUGACGCAGCGACGCCGCGUGAGUGAGGAAGGCCUUCGGGUCGUAAAGCUCUGUCAAGAGGAAAGAAGUGUACAAUGGCUAAUACCUGUUGUAUUUGACGGUACCUCUAAAGGAAGCACCGGCUAACUCCGUGCCAGCCGCCGC